rnacentral:lncRNA from 1 species
AGAGAGAGAGAGAUUGCACAUAACUCUUAUGAAUUUGCAUGAAUAUUACUAUUAGUUGAUAUAUAUAGUGUCAUGGAUAUGAUCAAGGCACUGUUUCUAUAUUGAGUGAAAAUCACUUGGUCAAAUAAAAUCUACCUAAUGAAGAAAUUAUCCUUUGAUGAAUUCCUUUGAGCCAAAAAUGUAAAAAAAAUCUUAUUAAAAAAUAAAUUAUAACCCUUAUCCCUCGAGAAGAAAAAAAAUGUUCAUACUUUGGUGAG